rnacentral:tRNA from 1 species
GGGUCGUUAGCUCAGCUGGUAGAGCAGCGGACUUUUAAACCGUUGGUCCCGCGUUCGACUCGCGGACGACCCACCA